GACGAACGCUGGCGGCGUGCCUAAUACAUGCAAGUCGAACGCUUCUUUCCUCCCGAGUGCUUGCACUCCAUUGGAAAGAGGAGUGGCGGACGGGUGAGUAACACGUGGGUAACCUACCCAUCAGAGGGGGAUAACACUUGGAAACAGGUGCUAAUACCGCAUAACAGUUUAUGCCGCAUGGCAUAAGAGUGAAAGGCGCUUUCGGGUGUCGCUGAUGGAUGGACCCGCGGUGCAUUAGCUAGUUGGUGAGGUAACGGCUCACCAAGGCCACGAUGCAUAGCCGACCUGAGAGGGUGAUCGGCCACACUGGGACUGAGACACGGCCCAGACUCCUACGGGAGGCAGCAGUAGGGAAUCUUCGGCAGUGGACGAAAGUCUGACCGAGCAACGCCGCGUGAGUGAAGAAGGUUUUCGGAUCGUAAAACUCUGUUGUUAGAGAAGAACAAGGACGUUAGUAACUGAACGUCCCCUGACGGUAUCUAACCAGAAAGCCACGGCUAACUACGU
rnacentral:rRNA from 1 species